rnacentral:rRNA from 1 species
UACAGAGGUCUCAAGCGUUGUUCGGAUUCAUUGGGCGUAAAGGGUGCGUAGGCGGCGCGGUAAGUCGGGUGUGAAAUUUCGGAGCUUAACUCCGAAACUGCAUUUGAUACUGCCUUGCUUGAGGACUGGAGAGGAGACUGGAAUUCACGGUGUAGCAGUGAAAUGCGUAGAUAUCGUGAGGAAAACCAGUGGCGAAGGCGGGUCUCUGGACAGUUCCUGACACUGAGGCACGAAGGCCAGGGGAGCAAACGGG